GAGAGUGGCAAAUUGUGGAUGCAUGACUUGCUACAAGAUAUGGGUAGAGAAAUUGUUCGACAAGAAUCACCUAAAGAACCUGGCAAACGUAGCAGGUUAUGGUUUCAUGAAGAUGUUCGUUCUGUACUAGAAGAAAAUACGGUAACAAACGAAAUUGAAGGGAUAUUGAUAGAUUUGCCAGAACGAGACUUGAUAUGCUUAGGUUCCAAAGCAUUCAUGAAGA